GACAGAGGGUGCAAACGUUGUUCGGAUUUACUGGGCGUAAAGCGCGUGUAGGCGGCUUUGCAAGUCGGAUGUGAAAUCCCACGGCUCAACCGUGGAAGUGCAUCCGAAACUGCAUCGCUCGAGUCCCGGAGAGGAAGGUGGAAUGCUUGGUGUAGAGGUGAAAUUCGUAGAUAUCAAGCAGAACACCUGCGGCGAAGGCGGCCUUCUGGACGAUGACUGACGCUGAGACGCGAAAGCGUGGGGAGCAAACAGG
rnacentral:rRNA from 1 species